CAACUUUUAUUUUAUAUGGGACCCAUUUUAAAACCAUAUCAUGCUUGGUCAUAUCUUAAUUUAAUAGAAACAUAUUGUGGAUGCUGCGUUAGAGGAAGCCGAGAGAGGCCAUGCACUAUUAUUAUUUUUGCUUGCUUGUUUUCUCGUGACCACGAAUUAAUUUCUGGUAUCUCACUGAGUGGCCAAAGACAGAGCGGCAGAAUGAGUGUAAAGUGAAUAGGUGUGCUGAUUCAAGUCGUUCACUGAAAAGAACCAGUUCAAAAGAACGAUUCGUUCACGAACUGGACAUCAGAUGCCAACCGCUGUUAAAAAUAACAAGAAGACGACGAUCGGACGCUGUUCUUCAACGGAGCUGCAAGUAGUCUAAACAAACGGUAAUAAGAGUAUAUUAAAGAACAUUAAUGAUAAAACACGGAUAUUUUACACAUCAGCAGAAGAAUAACAACAGUUGAAGAUGAGUAAUCGGGAGGCUCACGGUCCGGAGCAUCAACACCAUCCUCCUCGGCCGGACAUCGAGGCAGCCUGAGCUAAGUUUGUAAUAACUAUCAAAGUGAAUAGAAUAAUUCCACUCCAAGUUUUAUUAAUGUGAAGACUGCAACACUUGUGUUAAACUGUAUAUGAAUGGUAUUGCGUUUCUCAAAGCAGAGCAAAGAUCCUUACGUCACAGACAUUUGUUUAAUAGUCUACAAUGGAUAUGUGAAACGCAAAGAUAAUGAUAUUUCUUUAAAUGUGGUUAGGAAAACAAUUCUAUCUUUAUUAUUGUCCAUACAAAAACAAAUGUAAGAUUUUAGCCUAAUUCCGCUUUUCUUUUUAUAUUACUUAUCAGGACCAAAGAGUGUCAUUUCUCCUGAAUUGAGCCUCUAUGGUGUGAUGUUUGGUCAGCCGUCUCUUGUACUAUGAAGAACUGCAAUGGAAGAAGAGACAGUGCUUGAUUCGGCAGGUGAACUGCACCUAUUUUAUGGUGGAGCAACUUUUUCAAGAGGAAAUUGUUGACAAUAGUCCCUUUCACACAUACAGUCUUUACUGGUAAUUUACUGGUAAAUUGCAGUUAACAUGUCAUGUGUGAACAGAACCUUUCCGGUAAAUCAGUGCUCCCAAUUUACCAGUAAGAACUAAGACAGGUUGUAAGAUUAACGGUAAUUUGCCGGUAAGCGCUGUGUGUGAACGAAAAAUAUAGCAUUACCGGCAUUUAGUCAAGCAAACUGUAAUUUUACGCAUCUGGUUUAUUUUCUGGGCUGAUCUGCUUGGUAUGUUUUACCAAAAAAGUGUAAACCGAAUUUAAUCUUUUAAUUCAACUUACUUAUCUUGAUGCAUUAAGAAAAUGCAUAAAGGCCUGGUUUCACAGACAAGGCUUAGCUAAAGCUAAAAUCUUAAGAAAAAUCACUAGCACUGGCUUAUUUUAAAAUCUUGCAUUGAAAGUUCUUUUCAAUUGAGACAGCUCAAACAUGUGUCUUAGUCAAGGACUAUAGGCUUAAGCCUUGUCUGUGAAACUAGGGAUAAGCAUUUAUCUCAUUAAGUAACAAAGUAAUGUUCAUAUAGCAAUCAUAUAGCUUUAAGAUAAUACAAGUCAUGUGUUUCACGUCAUGCUCAGUUAAACAGACAAUUAUGAUUAUAGAGGAAGUUUACAGAUUUCCAAUCCACUUUGUAAUGUUACAAUGUCUGUAAUAUAUGUAAUCUGUCAUUUGACAGAGUAUUGUCAAGAACUAAUUGGGAAUUUAAGUUUAACUCAAGAAAAAAAGCGUAAACAUUGUCCGUUCAAAUACCCCAAUUUAUUGUAAAAAUAUAAAGUGAGUUGAAAAUCUGCAAACUUAUGCUUUGAGGCAGUGAUUGCAAUAUAUAUAAUGUUUGGCAGUUUUGUAUGUCCAUCCAGUUGCCAUCAUCUGAAGUCUCUGAGAGUGUAGGUGUCAUCUGAUGUCUUUACAAGUGAGGCUGGAUCCAUACUGGAGCUUCUGUAACCUGUAUG